rnacentral:rRNA from 1 species
CACGGGUGCGUAACGCGUGGGAAUCUGCCCCUUGGUUCGGAAUAACAGUUGGAAACGACUGCUAAUACCGGAUGAUGACGUAAGUCCAAAGAUUUAUCGCCGAGGGAUGAGCCCGCGUAGGAUUAGCUAGUUGGGGGGGUAACGGCCCACCAAGGCGAUGAUCAGUAGGGGUUCUGAGAGGAUUGGCCCCCACAUGGGUACUGAGAGACGGACCCAACUCCUACGGGAGGCAGCAGUAGGGAAUAUUGGGCAAUGGGCGAGAGCCUGACCCAGCCAUGCCGCGUGCAGGAUGAAGGCGCUCAGCGUUGUAAACUGCUUUUAUCAAGGAAGAACGAUGCCCUUGCGAGGGUAUGUGACGGUACUUGAGGAAUCAGCACCGGCUAACUCCGUGCCAGCAGCCGCGGUAAU